UACGUAGGGUGCAGGCGUUAAUCGGAAUUACUGGGCGUAAAGCAUCCGUAGCCGGUUCUACAAGUCUUCCGUUAAAUCCACCUGCUCAACAGAUGGGCUGCGGAAGAUACUAUGGAGCUAGGAGGCGGGAGAGGCAAGCGGUACUCGAUGGGUAGGGGUAAAAUCCGUUGAUCCAUUGAAGACCACCAAUGGCGAAGGCAGCUCGCUGGGACGGUACUGACGCUGAGGCGCGAAAGCGUGGGGAGCAAACAGG
rnacentral:rRNA from 1 species